rnacentral:lncRNA from 1 species
ACUGGCGGCCUCAGUCCUUGUGUUUGGAGCAGUUCUGCUAGAGGAGGAAACAGCACAAAGGGCACUCUUAUGCUGCUGUAAACCAGUGCCAGGAUUUUUAAAAUGUGAGACACCUGUUACCCUAGAGUGUGAAGAGGAGGAGAAAGGCUGAAGAGGAGGAGAAAGGCUAAGAUCUUUUCCAAUGCAAAAUUAGGAAAAAAUAUACUACAGGUAAGAUGGAGCAAGCAUGCUCUGCACCUUGUGUCUCCCUCAAAAUGUGGCUCUAAAACCUGGACAGGAUACAGCAGCUAUUUGAGGUCUCUGAAAAGCAAACAGUAACAUGCAAAAAGGGGAAGAGGACAGGAAUCUGAAGUAGCACCAAACCAAUGAUUUAUGAAAAAAUAAGAAGUGAAAGUAUUCUCUGACUGCAAGUAUGACCACCUGUCUUUCUAUAUCAGAACCCAAGCUAAAAGACUGCAUUUACUACCCUUCCUUGCUAACAAGAGUGACUACGUGACUAUGUUCUGGCCAAUGCAAACAGCCUGAAAAGCUGAUGUAAUGACUGGAUCUUCAGCAGCCACCUUGAGCAAGAGGUAGAAGCUAGAGGCUGAGGAAUGAUGGAGCAGAAAGGAAGGAGCUGGGGUUCCUAUUAACAUCCUGAAGCUACACUAUCAGGCCUGGACUGACCAACUCUUUCUGGCCUUCUUUUACAAGAGAAAAAUACAGUUAUUUAAACCACUAUACUUCUGUUUUCUUUUUUGGGGUAUAGAUAACUGAACCUAAUCCUGUCCCAAAUCCUGAUCCUAUCUAACCAGUGUUAGCUAUCAGCCCAUACGUAUACUGGAGAAUGACGUUUAACAAAAUAAGAUGUUAAAGUUCUAACUAAUUGUAAUAAUCAUGCAGUUUUCUCAUGCUGAACAAAGUUAAAGAAAUAUAAUGUGUGUUUCCUAAAGAGUGUCAUUUUUUGGAAAGAUAACAUGGGGCACAAAGUAACAUAAAAAUCUACAUAUAAUUAUGUAAACAUUGCUUUGACAUACAACACCAAAUAUUUUUAUUGUAUUUGUGAAUGCAUUUCUUGGUAAUAAAACGGCAGUUAUGAAUAAGUGAUACUUGGAAAGCUAUAACAUAAUGGGAGGAGAAGGUAUUAACACUGUGAUUUUAUGGGGUUGAAUCAGUUUUAGUUUCUUAUACAACUCAGAGCUUUACGUUAUUUAGACUGUCUAAACACUGGCGCAAGGUAGCAUUUUACUUAUCAAAACACUGGAGGAGGCAGUCUAUUUUAUGUGGGAAUAAUAGCUUUUUAACAGUGUUCGAUUAGGAGACAUUAGGAACCUUGCCUUGAAAACCAUUAGCAAAUUUAUCUAGAAGAUUUUACGUUACAUCUUAAAACAACCAGCUGCUAAGGACAUCCUAAACUGCUUAGUAUGCCAAUUUGCCUCAGAUGCUUGCCAUAUAAGCUGCUUUCAGGAGUCAGCAAUGAGUAUCAUAGAUACUUGAGGAUAAAAGGUUGAAGGAUAUUGGCAUUCAAAGAUGAAGCCAGAAACCCUGUACAGCCAAAAAAAUUAAACUUGCAUUUUACUUUGGAGUGAAAUGUCUUUGCUAUUUCCAAAGUUUUUAACUUUUGGGUUCUCAACUAGCCCUAGCAAUAUAAGGGCCUGACUAAUGACUCUUCCCAACAUUGUCAAACUUAAUUCAAACUUGAAAUCAAUCCCCUUUUUUUUCCUCCUAAAGCAAAGUAACUCACAAUAAUAAUAUGAGUACAUGUGAAUGGCCAAUUUAGAAGUUUAAGUCAUUCUUUUGUAAUCAGUACUAGAAUUAACUAGUGAUUUUUUUUUUUGGCAAGGAAUAACAAAAUAAUAGAAACUCCAUAUAUAUUAGAAAAAGAUCUGUAAGUUUGAGCCUUAUAUAUUAUUACAAUGUGGCAAUCAAGAGGAAAACUCAAGACAACUGUGCGCUGUGCUUGUCCUGUUUUGUUCAAACCACGAUAAUUUUAAAUAAAUAGUAAUGUUCAACAUUCACUGAUGACAUUAUCUAUCAACCACAUCACACCUGGAACACAGUAGAUAAUAAAUGGCAGCUGUUAUACCUUCCUUCUUGAAACAAAAUCCUGUCAUUUCAUUCUCAUUUUAACUUUGUGUUAAGCUUCUACAAUCCAUAAAAAUGAUAAAACAAUAAAAUGGUCCAACAUUAAAAAAAAAAAAAAAAAA